GACGAACGCUGGCGGCGUGCUUAACACAUGCAAGUCGAACGGAAAGGCCCUGCUUUUGUGGGGUGCUCGAGUGGCGAACGGGUGAGUAACACGUGAGUAACCUGCCCUUGACUUUGGGAUAACUUCAGGAAACUGGGGCUAAUACCGGAUAGGAGCUCCUGCUGCAUGGUGGGGGUUGGAAAGUUUCGGCGGUUGGGGAUGGACUCGCGGCUUAUCAGCUUGUGGGUGGGGUAGUGGCUUACCAGGGCUUUGACGGGUAGCCGGCCUGAGAGGGUGACCGGCCACAUUGGGACUGAGAUACGGCCCAGACUCCUACGGGAGGCAGCAGUGGGGAAUAUUGCACAAUGGGCGGAAGCCUGAUGCAGCAACGCCGCGUGCGGGAUGACGGCCUUCGGGUUGUAAACCGCUUUCGCCUGUGACGAAGCGUGAGUGACGGUAAUGGGUAAAGAAGCACCGGCUAACUACGUG
rnacentral:rRNA from 1 species